AGUGGCGGACGGGUGAGUAACGCGUGAGAAUCUGCCUUGGGGUCGGGGACAACCACUGGAAACGGUGGCUAAUACCGGAUAAGCCGAUUGGUGAAAGAUUUAUUGCCCGAAGAGGAGCUCGCGUCUGAUUAGCUAGUUGGUGAGGUAAGAGCUCACCAAGGCAGCGAUCAGUAGCUGGUCUGAGAGGACGAUCAGCCACACUGGGACUGAGACACGGCCCAGACUCCUACGGGAGGCAGCAGUGGGGAAUUUUCCGCAAUGGGCGAAAGCCUGACGGAGCAAGACCGCGUGAGGGAGGAGGGCUCUUGGGUUGUAAACCUCUUUUCUCAGGGAAGAAGCUCUGACGGUACCUGAGGAAUCAGCCUCGGCUAACUCCGUGCCAGCAGCCGCGGUAAUACGGAGGAGGCAAGCGUUAUCCGGAAUUAUUGGGCGUAAAGCGUCCGCAGGUGGCGAUUCAAGUCUGCUGUCAAAGCACGGGGCUUAACUCCGUAAAGGCAGUGGAAACUGAAUAGCUAGAGUGCCGUAGGGGUAGAGGGAAUUCCCGGUGUAGCGGUGAAAUGCGUAGAGAUCGGGAAGAACAUCGGUGGCGAAAGCGCUCUACUGGACGGCAACUGACACUCAGGGACGAAAGCUAGGGGAGCGAAUGGGAUUAGAUACCCC
rnacentral:rRNA from 1 species